GAUGAACGCUAGCUACAGGCUUAACACAUGCAAGUCGAGCGACCGGCGCCGGGGUGAGUAACACGUAACCAACCUGCCCUGUACUCGGGGAUAGCCGUUCGAAAGAAACAUUACUACCCGAUAUGAAGGAUGGGGAUGCGUUCCGUUAGGUUGUUGGUGAGGGCACGGCCCACCCAGCCUUCGCUGGCUAGGGGUUCUGCGAGGAAGGGCCCCCGCAUGUGAACUGAGAGACCGUCCAAUCUCCUAGGGGAGGCAGCGGUCAGGAAUACUGUGGACUGGGCGCUAGGCUGACCCAGCCAAGUAUCGCGAAGGGUGACGGGUUAGGGCUCGUGUACCUCCUGUAACUAAGCAGAUGUAUUCCAUGAAUAAGGAUCGGCUAACUCCGUGCCAGCAGCCGCGGUAAUAC
rnacentral:rRNA from 1 species